rnacentral:tRNA from 1 species
GGGGGCGUCGGUUAACUGGCAAACCACUUCUCUCCAAAAGAAGAAUACUGGGGGUUCAAGUCCCUCCGCCCCUGCAA